AAAUGGAAAAGCCGGUACAAGCGUAUAGCAGUCAUGCAGGCAAAACCGCAUGAAAAAUGUAAAGCGUUAUGUGGAUCGAACAUUAGUAGAGAAGCGUGUGAGCCAGCUGCCAAGAAAAGCCGCUAUUGUUUCAUAAGUACCCGUACCGUAAACCGACACAGGUGGAUGAGGAGAGAAUCCUAAGGCCGGCGGGAGAAGUGUUGUUAAGGAACUCGGCAAAAUGACUCCGUAACUUCGGGAGAAGGAGUGCCACAGAGAUGUGGCCGCAGAGAAAUGGCCCAAGCAACUGUUUAGCAAAAACACAGGUCUAUGCAAAACCGAAAGGUGAGGUAUAUGGGCUGACGCCUGCCCGGUGCUGGAAGGUUAAGAGGAGAGGUUAGAGCAAUCGAAGCUUCGAAUUUAAGCCCCAGUAAACGGCGGCCGUAACAAUAACGGUCCUAAGGUAGCGAAAUUCCUUGUCGGGUAAGUUCCGACCCGCACGAAAGGCGUAAUGAUUUGGGCACUGUCUCAACAACACACCCGGUGAAAUUGAAAUACCAGUGAAGAUGCUGGUUACCUGCGCCAGGACGGAAAGACCCCAUGGAGCUUUACUCCAGUUUGAUACUGGGAUUCGGUACUGUCUGUACAGGAUAGGUGGGAGGCUAGGAAAUGGUGACGCCAGUUGCCAUGGAGCCAACCUUGGGAUACCACCCUUACAGUACUGGGUUUCUAACCUGCAGCCGUAACCCGGCUGGGGGACAAUGUCUGACGGGGAGUUUGACUGGGGCGGUCGCCUCCGAAAGAGUAUCGGAGGCGCUCAAAGGUUCCCUCAGAACGGUUGGAAACCGUUCGAAGAGUGCAAAGGCAGAAGGGAGCUUGACUGCGACACCGACGGGUGGAGCAGAUACGAAAGUAGGACUUAGUGAUCCGGUGGUAUAAAGUGGGAUUGCCAUCGCUCAACGGAUAAAAGCUACCCUGGGAUAACAGGCUUAUCACUCCCAAGAGUUCACAUCGACGGAGUGGUUUGGCACCUCGAUGUCGGCUCAUCGCAUCCUGGAGCUGUAGCAGGUUCCAAGGGUUGGGCUGUUCGCCCAUUAAAGCGGUACGCGAGCUGGGUUCAGAACGUCGUGAGACAGUUCGGUCCCUAUCCGGCGUGGGCGUAGGAUAUUUGAGAGGAGCUGUCCUUAGUACGAGAGGACCGGGAUGGACAAACCUCUGGUGUAUCUGUUGUUUUACCAAAGGCAUGGCAGAGUAGCCAAGUUUGGCAGGGAUAAACGCUGAAGGCAUCUAAGCGUGAAGCCCCCCUCAAGAUAAGAUAUCCCAUCUUCGGAGUAAGACCCCUUGAAGACUACAAGGUUGAUAGGCUUCAGGUGUAAGUGCGGUAACGCACUCAGCUGAGAAGUACUAAUAGGUCGAGGACUUAU
rnacentral:rRNA from 1 species